rnacentral:rRNA from 1 species
UACGUAGGGGGCAAGCGUUGUCCGGAUUUAUUGGGCGUAAAGAGCUCGUAGGCGGUCUGUCGCGUCGGCUGUGAAAACCCGAGGCUCAACCUCGGGCCUGCAGUCGAUACGGGCAAACUAGAGUACUGCAGGGGAGACUGGAAUUCCUGGUGUAGCGGUGAAAUGCGCAGAUAUCAGGAGGAACACCGGUGGCGAAGGCGGGUCUCUGGGCAACAACUGACGCUGAGGAGCGAAAGCGUGGGGAGCGAACAGG